AAAUUGAAGAGUUUGAUCAUGGCUCAGAUUGAACGCUGGCGGCAGGCCUAACACAUGCAAGUCGAGCGGCAGCGGGAAAGUAGCUUGCUACUUUUGCCGGCGAGCGGCGGACGGGUGAGUAAUGCCUGGGAAAUUGCCCAGUCGAGGGGGAUAACAGUUGGAAACGACUGCUAAUACCGCAUACGCCCUACGGGGGAAAGCAGGGGACCUUCGGGCCUUGCGCGAUUGGAUAU
rnacentral:rRNA from 1 species